rnacentral:rRNA from 1 species
UACGUAGGUGGCAAGCGUUGUCCGGAUUUAUUGGGCGUAAAGCGAGCGCAGGCGGUUCCUUAGGUCUGAUGUGAAAGCCCGCAGCUCAACUGGGGAAGGGCAUUGGAAACUGGGGAACUUGAGUGCAGAAGAGGAAGGUGGAACUCCAUGUGUAGAGGUGGAAUGCGUAGAUAUAUGAAAGAACACCAGUGGCGAAGGCGACAUUCUGGUCUGUUACUGACACUGAGGCACGAAAGCGUGGGUAGCAAACAGG